CUUAGCAGUCUAUUAUAUAAACCUGCACAUUCACAAAGUCUAUGUAUCAAAGCAGUGGUGUGUAGACACAGCACUCAGAUAUACCUUAAUUUAUGUAUAAAAUGAUUGCGUUCUAAUGUUUUAGUGCAGUUUCUCAGACAGGGUGCAAAUCAAACCAUGCCUUAAUCUAGAACAGUCGAUAUGGUUUUUGAAUGGCUUUGUGAGACUUUGUAACUAAUUCAACUAUGGAGUCAGUUUACAAACAAAAAGUCAAUAAUGUGGUAGCAUCUGAAGAAUAGAAACAAACAAAACAAAAACUUUUAAGUGAUAAGGACUGGGUGAAAAAGCGGUAUAGGCUUCCCUCUUUGUGGCAAUAAUGCAAGCUUGGGCUCCAGCAGUGAAAUAAUCUCUACUGCAUUUUCUUUGUAAUUGUAAAUUUUGGAAAGAGAUUCCAACAGAAUUACUGAGUGUCCUGUCAAUAAUUUCUAGUCCCUCUUGUAGUAUUUGUUUGCCAAAUAAUCCAUGUGUCUCUAUUUACAGACAGCAUUAAUCUGAAGUUAAACCUGCCUCCUUGUAGGUUUAAUUUAAAUUUAAUCUGGAGUAACUCUAACCUUCCUUCAGGAAAUCAGUUCAGUUAAUUAAAGACUUGGCUCAAUCAGACUAUUCCAAACCAUGUCUGAGAAAGCCAAUUUAAGUUAAUCUAAUCAAAAAUGGCACUUUAGUCUACAACAAAGCUUAAUAAAACAAAAUAAGAUUAAUUAUAUUGAUCACAUGCAGGGAAUCUAUAGUUAGUAAUCUUAGUUGGAGUAUGCUCUACAGCUCUGUGGGAGUAAUAGGACUCAAAUUACACACAGAGCGCAGCCAGCCUGAGCCUGUUGCCUGAGCUGACCCACUGACCCACUUUCUGUCUCCUGCUCCAGCACAUUGCCAAGGAGAGCCUCUGGUGGAGGAAAGAAAAGAGGGAAAGUAAGAGAGGAGGUGAAAUAGGAGGGAAAAAGGAAAGAAAGUGAAACGGAGAAGAGCUAGAAACUGGGGAGAGUGAGGGGGCCAGAGAGAGGAGGGAAAGCCUGGUAUUUGUCAGCUGUUUGAGGCCUGGCACAGCAUCCGCAGCUAACAGCUCAUAGCCUGGAGCUCCCAGCUUCCCGCUCAAUACUGCCCGCCAUUACUACACAAACUUCCGCCAAAGCUCAAAACAUGCACACACACACUCAAAUAUGCAUGGUCACACAGGAAAUCUCCUACUAUUUCUGUCAGCACAGCGUUACAGUUACAGCUAUAUUAUCAAGCUAACUGCUAGCUGUGUUGCUAAUAAAGAGCUUGAGCAAAAAAUUCUUCAACAUACAUGAGCACAACAGAUUUAACACACGGUGUUCCACUAAAUAGGGAAGGUAUACAAGGUGUGUAAAAGAGUCUGUGUGAGCGAGCGAAUGAGAUGCCGAAGGGGGGGAGGUCACCUGCUCACACAAAGACGGCACACAGCAACACCAGCACAGGGCUGCUGCUAAAAAUAAAUACCGUCUGAAAGCGAGAGUCUGACAAAAAGAACAGGAGACCCUCCUCUCUCCCCACUGUGGGUAUACUGACGCAUGCACGACUCCUCCUCUCUACACCACCUCUUCAGUCAAUCUCUCCUAACAUCAGUGUGACGCAUCGUGGGUGUAGGGGUUUUACACCACACACUGCUCCACUACGUAUACAUCAGCAGCCUACGAGAACAAAUGACUAAGGCAGGCGUGCCACUUACACCCUUGUACUACUCUUACUAGCCACGAAAUACAACUAAUUCUCUUGGUGGCAAACAAACUAACAGGGCAUCAGUAUCUAAAACAAGAUACUGGUGCUACUGCUAACUUAUCUUUUCUGUCUUUUUUUAAUUUGUGAAAAAUUCUUGUGUGUACAGUUAGUAUCUGAUUAUUACAAACAUACUGCUAUCCAGAGGAGCUGUCUUGACAUGGUCAUUUGCUUUAUCUUGACAGACAAGCACAGCAGGUCACAUGUUGAUGACACUGAGUGUCUGCAAUUCAGCUGACCUGCAUUGGCUGGCUGCCUGGCUCCAACACUGUGCAUUAAAGUCACUUCCAUAACCACAGUAGCAUAACUGCAAAUAUGACAGUUGCCUUUAGUUUUUCCAUUUCAGUGCUGCAACACUUCUAUCCUAAGAGUUGUGCUCAGACACCAUAGAUUUUAUAACAGUAAUUGCAGCCUUGUAAAUAAUAGGUGAAGUACACAGGUGAGGACCAAAGACAUUCAGCAGUACUUGAGCAGCAGUGUGUCUUUUAAAUGCUAUGUAGGCCUGGUUAGUGCCCACACCCAGAACCAGAUGGACAAAGAGCUGCACCACCCCAGAGGUGCUCUUCAUAUGGAAACAUUUAUAGAUGCACAGAUGUGGGGAUUUAGUGAGAGAUGGGGAGAGAGAAGGGGAGAAACACAGAGCAAAAGAAAGAGUAUUUUUUGGGACUUCAUUCUGGAUGCCAGAUUAGUGUAGCAGCACGCCUUAUAUUGCAACAGUCUGUACAACAGCCAUGUUGUAUGUAUCAAAACACAGACAGCACUGUGUUCAUGCUCUGUGGGUGAGAUAAGCAAUUUUAAUGCUCUGUGGGAGUGAAGAAUGAAUCUACAUGGAGUGGGAUCUGUUGCUACCACCAAGCAGUUCAACAAGGGUAAAAACUGAUAAUUAAACAUGACUAGAACAAAAAAACACUUGAGCGCAGAUACUGGCAAGUGUUUUUGAAUUCUAUUAAUAUAGCAUUGCUGAAUAGGAGAAGUCUCUUCUAUCCUCCUCCCUGUCGAGUUGACCAUAUGGACAUGAGAGGAGGGAAAAAGAGAGAGGAAGUCUUUCCCCUUUGAAAACAGGAGGAGUGCACCACAUGAAUAGGCUCCAUAUUGCAGAACUCCACAUGCAGGACCAUCAGCUGUUUCUAAGCACGACAGCUAGUCCCAGUAUAAAUAGCUAUCACGCAGGUAAACAGUAUAUUCAACAGUGUAAGUUCCUGAUAUGCGUGUUCUUGUGUUGAUCCUUACAGACCAUAACAUAAAGUAAUGGGUGAGGCAAUAAAUCCAGGAGGGAGGGACUGUGAGUGUUAUCAGACUCUGGCCUAGUGUAAAGGGAAGGUCAACUCUGCUAGUCAAAGCAGAGAGGAGCGGCUAAUUACAUCAACAAGUAAUUCUGACUCAGUGACUUGAAACUCAGUCAGUUUGUAUUGUGAUGAUGGGAUAAACAAACUAACUGAUGGAACUGAAAUAACCAGAAUUGCCAGACUAGGUACAGUGCACGUGAAGAGGAGAUGUACCUAAAAACCCCUCUCAGACAUUCUGAGAAAUUCAGCUUUUUUCAGUCAGCACUAACUGUCUCACCGCAAUUACUAUAAAUGAGAAACACUGUUCAAGUUAACUAUAUACACCACUGAAAAGACCACAGAACUUGCAACUGCUUCCCUUUCCGUUUCUCUUUAAUGAGUCAACUGCAAUCAGCCACUGACAGCGUGCUACAUGGAAAUACAACUAAGAGAAAAGUAGUCUCUUUCUUGGCAAGCAUGACUAUUACUGCCUAGAGAAAUGACAGAUCAGGGGACAAAUGGAUGUAUAGAGCUCAAACGACCAAACACAACCAGCUGGUCUCAAUCAUAAGGAUGUUAUGAGAUAACAAAACACAGAAAGCACUCGAGGAAUGCAAUUCGGCCAUUCAAAUGCAUGCAGCAUCGAGAAACACAGACCUCACAGAGUUCAUACACACACACACACACCCAUCUUGUACUUUAUAUCGUUAUGUGUACUGUGUGAUUGUUUACUGGUAUCAAAUGGUGGAUCUGAGCAGAGAAAACAUGAAGGAACAUGAAGGGCCAUAGCCGAGACACUUCGGGGUUACGGUGAGACUGACAUGAUGCAUGAUGUGAAGGGUAGUCUGUUUCAGUCGCUCCAAUUUCAAAACACCUUCUAAUUACUGGGUGUCAAUAUCUGGGUUAGUUGUACUUGUCGCUACCUAGUAACGUUACUUUGCUCAAACGUACCGUAGUCUAUGUCACAAUUGUCUGUGAAUAAUUUAUGGUAGCACAGUUGAAAAACAAGCUAAAUAUCUGAUCAGUCAUCGUAGCUGGCUCAUACAACAUGUCUUUCACCAUCCCGACCAGUGUGACCUGAUUACCCGGCCGAACGUGCCAUGGCUCCUUCAGCUAGCCAAUGUUAGCAAAGAGCUAGCUAACAAAGACAAAACCACAGAGAAAAAUCUAAAUAUGUAACGGACCUUCUGAUUGGAGAUUUCUAAUCAGACGAGGACGUGGUGUCAGCAACAAGAUCAGCGGUGAGGGGAAACAAUCCUCCUACUGUUAAAAAUGACGCUGAAGGUCAUAACAGUCACUAUGAAGUGCUCACUGUCAUUGAAGAAUCACCCACUGUCCCACACAGAGAGACAGUGACACAGGACCCAUAACAGAGGACAAGACACAGCGGGCUGCAAGAGACACAGACACUGCAGAACGAACAAGAGGUAAUCAAGAUGAUAAACUCAAAUGUUUAUCAUCUGGAUUAUAGGCUGGCUUUGGCUGUAAAUCAGCAGAGCUGGUUAUUGCUCUGUGCUUUCAACGCCCACCUCCCAACAGGUCUGUGGACACAAGUGUGCACCAGUACUGUUGUGUGUUCAAUUCUCUGCACCAGGAGUACAAAAUUAAUCAAACUCAGAGAAAACUACAGCCAGCAGAGUAGCAAUUGUGAGUCUUAUUGUUGCAUUGCACUGUCUACCGUUAAAGGCUUAGUGGAGCACCGUCAUUGGCUCUUUGACACAAGUAACAAAAUUAAUUUCUAUCAUACUGUAUUGGUUAAUUUGGUCUGAAAUCAGGUGCCAUAACCCUCACGGAUGAGAGUUCAGUUAUCACACUGAUUAUAUUUUAUAAUGAUAAUAGUUACACUGUUAACUUUGUUGGAGAAAUCACAUUCGCACUCACUUCGGUCUUCAUUUUAACGAUCGUAUUUUUUAUGUGGGAUCAUAUUAAGGCUGUUUUCAAACAACUGUCUGUCCUUGUACUUUGGUCUUUUAUGUGCUUGUCACAGUUUGCUAAGCUGCCCAUAAUUCAGGUGCCAGGAAUCAGAAAUGUUUUUCAAUCAGCAUAUCAACCUAUAUGUAUGAGGCCAGUAUUAGCUGUUUCUGUGGUUGGUUGUAAAGAUGUGCAGGUUAAAAAUGAACCAUUUUACUUGAAUCUAUUAUGAAAUGCCCUCGUGUCUAAUACACAUACCAACUACCUCAAAUAAUUGAUUGACCUUUAUUUCAACCAUAGCCUACAUUUUCACAUUAAAGCACUGACCCGAACUGUUAGCAGAGACAAUCUAAAUAGAAGUAGACCCCCUCUCUGCAUUUCAGCGCAGAAAUCCCAGACAAAUAAAAUCCUGACUAAAAAAAGUCUGACUAGUAAAACCUUUGAAACACAGAUGUGAGCUCUCCGUUUCUCUGCUGUGCGUGUGUGUAAACAUGUCAGUGUAUAUGCUGCUGUAUGUUGAUGAGAGGGAGCUUGUGGCAGCUUGCCACAGUGAACUCGCUGACCGGGCCCCCCUCCAGCUCCCUGAGCAGCGCUGAGGCCAACUUUGGGAUGGGAGCCAGUAGCAGCAUAGCGAGGCUCAGGCACAGCUCAGCCCGGCCAACUGGAACACAGUCGCUAUGUAGAUUUCUGGGAUCUGUCACGGUGUGUCAGAUUACAGCGAGCCCUGUCCUCUCUGUUGCCUUGCAGGAGCAUCUUCUACCCACGCAGCUGUGCCAGGGCCUUUUUUGGAUCCAUGUGUCAGUGCAAGGCACAGACUUGGCAGUAAACCCCACAAGUUCAUGGGAUAAAAGGGGAUGCCUAUUAGACACAGGCAACAUAUACAGAGUACUAUAGUCUGCACUAACACCCUAAAUACAAAAGGAAUGGUUUAACUAACCUUCACCAUCAUUCCCUUGCAAUCAAACGGAUUCCUGAGGGUGUCACUAACCGUACACAACAGUUUACCUCUCAGGAGAAACAAGGCAAACUAGGGAGACUAGAGGGAUCCAAAUGUUUCUAUUAAUUUUUUUUUUUUAAAACAAAAACAAGGUGUGCCAGCACUAUGUGGAGGCUUUUGAAAAUAAGUGUGAAACUGCUGCCAUCUACAGGACAUCCUCCAUUCACUGCAGGCCACAGUAAUUGUAAACAAAUGUUAGAAUACUGACAAGUCCAUUAAACAGAGAUGAAAAAAAAGAAAGCUAUAUCAAAUACAUCAGUUUCUCAUUUAUAAUAGUUUUAUGGAAUAGCAUAUCCCGACUUGUCUCGGUGCUUCCAAAAACCUGUUUUUGGGGCUAAAAAUAUAUGCUCUACAUACUUUUCAAAGGAAAAAGUUACAUCUUUUGACUUUUGUCAAAGCUAUGUGAUAAAAAUUGUGCUGCUGUCUAAUUGUGUAUCUAUCAGAAACAAACCAAACACCAACUGUAUUUGUUGGUGUCAUGGCAUCCAUGUUCAAUACAAUUAUUCUCCAUAACAAUGUAAGAUGUUUAAUCAUAUUUGGAAUACAGCAUUAAUGCUAAAAUACACAGAAAUCUUGUGUCUUCUAUGCAGUAAUUAAUGCUAAAAUUCAACCUCAUUAAAAUAAUGGACAACACCUACUUCAGAAUUUCACAAAUAAGGAUUUGAAAGAAUUUUAUUGAAACAAAGAUCAAUUUCAGUCCCAGUCCCUUAUGGUUUUCAAAAAGCGUGCUUUGGGUUUUAGCGCCAACAUUUCAUGACUCUUCUCCAAAGCCCUCUUUGCUUAUACAGCAGCAUGUAUAUACCCUAUACAACAGGUCAUUUUGGCACAAUCAACUCAUACAGCGGUUCUCCUGUGCUGGCAUAUAGUUACUUUCAAACAGUUUGCUCUCCCUCGGAGCAAAAUGUGUUUACUGAUGAACUCAUUCACAAUAGAUUUUGACCGUAAUAGGAGGUGCAGUACAGUAAUCAUGUCAGAAUGUUUCUAGAAAACAAGAUACAGUAAGAAUGGUGAAGUGUCUUUCUUGUUAAAGGUUGCAGUACUGGGCCAUGCUGGGUGUUGAUUCUGGUAACAAGACAUUCACCUUUACAAACUUUACGUCCCUUGCCCAGCCAUCAGAGUCCCAGACCCAGCCUCCGUCUAGACCCAGCCGCAUCGUUGUGAUGAGUCUUGGCACACUGGCCUUAAUGUAGUGUUUGCAUUAGGAGUGAUAUAAUCUGAAACCUGGCAUUACAUUGAAACACUUGAGCCCAGCCAUGCAAAUCCCAUCUGGAGCAAAGAAGCCUCCUCUGACUUCUCACAAGAAAAACACUGAGAAAGUUUCAAUUGGAUGAUAAGUUCUUACAAAA